UACGAAGGGGGCUAGCGUUGCUCGGAAUCACUGGGCGUAAAGGGUGCGUAGGCGGGUCUUUAAGUCAGGGGUGAAAUCCUGGAGCUCAACUCCAGAACUGCCUUUGAUACUGAAGAUCUUGAGUUCGGGAGAGGUGAGUGGAACUGCGAGUGUAGAGGUGAAAUUCGUAGAUAUUCGCAAGAACACCAGUGGCGAAGGCGGACUCACUGGCCCGAUACUGACGCUGAGGCGCGAAAGCUAGGGAGCAAACGGG
rnacentral:rRNA from 1 species